rnacentral:rRNA from 1 species
AUUGAACGCUGGCGGCAUGCCUUACACAUGCAAGUCGAACGGCAGCACGGGUGCUUGCACCUGGUGGCGAGUGGCGAACGGGUGAGUAAUACAUCGGAACGUACCUUAUCGUGGGGGAUAACGCAGCGAAAGCUGUGCUAAUACCGCAUACGCCCUGAGGGGGAAAGCGGGGGAUCGAAAGACCUCGCGCGAUUAGAGCGGCCGAUGCCUGAUUAGCUUGUUGGUGGGGUAAAAGCCCGCCAAGGCGACGAUCAGUAGCUGGUCUGAGAGGACGAUCAGCCACACUGGGACUGAGACACGGCCCAGACUCCUACGGGAGGCAGCAGUGGGGAAUUUUGGACAAUGGGGGCAACCCUGAUCCAGCAAUGCCGCGUGAGUGAAGAGGGCCUUCGGGUUGUAAAGCUCUUUUGUCAGGGAAGAAACACCGGCUCUAACACAGUCCGGGAAUGACGGUACCUGAAGAAUAAGCACCGGCUAACUACGUGCCAGCCGCCGCGGUAA